UGUGGGGGGAGGGGGUACUGUAAUGGUGCCUCUGUCAGUCUCCUCCCCCUCUCCACCCGGCUGCCGAUUAUCCCCAGCUGCGACCACUCACCUCAUCACCUUUGUCUGCCUUCUUAAGGAGCUCCAGGACCAUCAUUCCUCGCCAGUCCGUUGCCCCUGAUGGAAUCUGUUACCACGAGUGGUCGCUAUUAUCUGCCUCUACCCGGAUCCCCAGUUGGGUCUUCUCUCCACGGUCACACCACGAGCCUCUGCCUCUGUUCCGCGGUCCUGCUCCCAAGACGGCCAUCUCUCUCUCUAUGGAGGAACCAGCUUGUGACGCCUCCUGCUCAGAGCCCGCUUCCAGCCCUGUCCACGCUCUAUUCACCUCGCCUCACUAUUAAAUCUUUACCUGCCACACUC